CCCUGNUUUUGCAGUGGGUACGGGCUAACUAGAGUGCAGUAGGGGAGACUGGAAUUCNUGGCGUAGCGGUGGAAUGCGCAGAUAUCAGGAGGAACACCGAUGGCGAAGGCAGGUCUCUGGGCUGUAACUGACGCUGAGAAGCGAAAGCAUGGGGAGCGAACAGGAUUAGAUACCCUGGUAGUCCAUGCCAUAAACGUUGGGCACUAGGUGUGGGGGACAUUCCACGUUUUCCGCGCCGUAGCUAACGCAUUAAGUGCCCCGCCUGGGGAGUACGGCCGCAAGGCUAAAACUCAAAGAAAUUGACGGGGGCCCGCACAAGCGGCGGAGCAUGCGGAUUAAUUCGAUGCAACGCGAAGAACCUUACCAAGGCUUGACAUAUACUGGACUGCGUCAGAGAUGGCGUUUCCCUUCGGGGCUGGUAUACAGGUGGUGCAUGGUUGUCGUCAGCUCGUGUCGUGAGAUGUUGGGUUAAGUCCCGCAACGAGCGCAACCCUCGUUCUAUGUUGCCAGCACGUGAUGGUGGGGACUCAUAGGAGACUGCCGGGGUCAACUCGGAGGAAGGUGGGGAUGACGUCAAAUCAUCAUGCCCCUUAUGUCUUGGGCUUCACGCAUGCUACAAUGGCCGGUACAGAGGGUUGCGAUACUGUGAGGUGGAGCUAAUCCCUAAAAGCCGGUCUCAGUUCGGAUUGGGGUCUGCAACUCGACCCCAUGAAGUCGGAGUCGCUAGUAAUCGCAGAUCAGCAACGCUGCGGUGAAUACGUUCCCGGGCCUUGUACACACCGCCCGUCAAGUCACGAAAGUUGGUAACACCCGAAGCCGG
rnacentral:rRNA from 1 species